rnacentral:tRNA from 1 species
ACAUUGAUGCCUCUGUGGUAGAAUUCUCAUCUUCCACGUUAGAGACCUGGGUUCGAUCCCCGGUCAAUGUA